AUCUGAUCGCUCUCAUUUGAAGUGUUUGAGAUUGACCUUCUCAUUGAUGACCAAGUCAUUUUUGAUUCACAAAUUGAUUGUUUCAAUUCAUUCAAGUGAGGCUUUAACUCAAUCAACAAACAUCUCAACAUUUUACUUAUUUCCUUACAUGAUUUUUUCUUUCAACUCUAUCUUCCUGGUCAAGUGUUUCAGGAUUAGAUUAGGUUUUAAGAUCUGGUGAAAAUUCAUCAUGCAUAUCGUAUUAUUAGAAUCACCAUAAAAGAAUUGAAUGAAGAAAAAGAAAAACAAAUAAACAAUAUUUUAAAAAAUAAAAAUAGAAAUAAAGGGACGCACAUUUUGUUGACAGAAAGACAAAAGGGUUUGAACAAAGAUGAUAAGAAAUAAGACAAGAUAAAUCCCGAACUACAACCCUAAAAUAAUUCGGAUAGCAAAAAUAAAAAUAAAACAGACUACCAAAAAUCCCUCAUCGUGAGGAGUGAAGAUUGACUUCUAAAUUUUUUGAACUUAAUAUUUUAGCCACUGAUUUGCACGUUGGCCUUAAUGGAGUCUUCGCCCUCAUUGCGACAUCAUCUAUUUUUUUCCAACCAUUCUGAAGUUAUCGCCAUUAAAGUCUCUCCAAAAUAAAUCGUCAGCAGUUUCUCUUUUUCCUUACUCCUCAUAAUUGAUUUCAAAACCUUUUUAGAUGAGUCAAAGGAUGACCAUGACCCUCGUAUAAGUCCAACUUUGGUGUUUUGGAGGUUAGAGGCAAGUAAACAUUGAAACAUAUAAAAAUCCUUGUGAGAAUUCUCUUUCUCUCUCUCAAUAUUUGCAUGUUUCUUAUAUUUUACUCCAAAUUUCUCACUUUUCAGGCCAGUUCUUCUUACUCCUCAUUUAUAACAGUCUACACCACCUCAUAUCAAACCCUAUACCAAUUUGUGUGUCAUCUUGCCUGUUCUUUGAACCUGGUGUUGUAUUGGUGAGAUGCCAAUUUAGCGACAAGCCAACCACCUUAACACUAUUUUGAUUUUGGAGAAAAUUAAUGUGUCAGAGUUCAAAAUUUUUCUUUAUAAGACCACCGAAUCCAUGAAGGACUUCCUACGUAUCUCAUUAAAAUGAGAAUCAGGUGAGCGUAGUUCUUAAAAAUUAUGUCGUACAAAACUCAACCUCAAGACCCCUAAAGGUUUACGGCUAUUAAGAUUUAUAUUUUUUUUGUAAAAACUUAGCCGCAUGAUCCCUAAACAUUCAGGGCUAUUAAGAUUUAUAUAUAUUUUUAUUUUGUAACACUUAGCCUCAUGAUCCUUAAAGAUUCUGAGCUAUUAAGAUAUAUAUAUAUAAAUUGAACUUGAGAAUAAAAAAAAAAUUAUGAAAGUAUUCAUAUUUUCAAAAUAUUCCCCAACAAAUCUAUGAAUAAUUUUUCAAAAGAUAGGGUCGUACCCCGAAAAAGGCUUCCUAUGUAUCUCAAUUAAGAGUGAGAAUCUGACCCUCGUAGUUCAUGAAGACCGUAAAACCAUGUUACUAAAAUUUUUCAUUUCUUUUAAAAAUAAAAUUUUCUUUGAAAAAUAAUUCACUAAAUAUGAGGAUAAUUUAAUCUCUUGCAUUUUAAAGUUGCUUAAAGCUGGUCAACAAAAAAACAACCUUCCAAACAAAUAUCAAAGAACACGUAGGAUGCACAUGUUGGUCUUUAUAAAGUAGGUCACCUGUCCUAGACAGACCCGGCCCCUGUGCCGGGUCCCGCUAAGUCAAAUGCAUAUGAUGCAAAUAAAGUAACACCUAAUAACGAUAACCAGAUUCUGAGUUUUCAGUUCUUCUAAGUUUAAGCAUAAUAGGGAUAGGUGUCUAAAUUGGCUUACUCGAGCAGACACUCGAGCCGUGGAGGCACAACUUGGUCGGUAGCAGGACAACACCGCCUUCGUCGCCAAUCCGAACCCCGCCUAACAUGUAUGACUAUAGUUCUUCACCAGGUGCCUUGACACUUCGGCUAUCUCAAAAAGAAAGUAGCUUCCUAUGUAUCUCAAUUAAGAGUGAGAAUCUGACCCUCGUAGUUCAUGAAGACCGUAAAACCAUGUUACUAAAAUUUUUCAUUUCUUUUAAAAAUAAAAUUUUCUUUGAAAAAUAAUUCACUAAAUAUGAGGAUAAUUUAAUCUCUUGCAUUUUAAAGUUGCUUAAAGCUGGUCAACAAAAAAACAACCUUCCAAACAAAUAUCAAAGAACACGUAGGAUGCACAUGUUGGUCUUUAUAAAGUAGGUCACCUGUCCUAGACAGACCCGGCCCCUGUGCCGGGUCCCGCUAAGUCAAAUGCAUAUGAUGCAAAUAAAGUAACACCUAAUAACGAUAACCAGAUUCUGAGUUUUCAGUUCUUCUAAGUUUAAGCAUAAUAGGGAUAGGUGUCUAAAUUGGCUUACUCGAGCAGACACUCGAGCCGUGGAGGCACAACUUGGUCGGUAGCAGGACAACACCGCCUUCGUCGCCAAUCCGAACCCCGCCUAACAUGUAUGACUAUAGUUCUUCACCAGGUGCCUUGACACUUCGGCUAUCUCAAAAAGAAAGUAGGAUGCAUGUGUUGCAUUCUUUCUAUCCUAUUUCAGAGACUCAGAGGGGGUGCGUAAGAGAAGGCAGUAUAUAAUACAAUUCAAUUAAUAUCAAAGCGGUAAAUGAGCAACAAGUAGCACAUAAGGCCAACAAACACAAUAUCAACAAUAAUUAAAGCAAGUAUAAGUCAAUAUAAAAAGCUCAAAUUCUUAUUAGUCCCCAGCAGAGUCGCCAGAGAUGUCACACCCCUUUUUCCGCUCGUGGCUUCAAGGUCGAAGGUUUUUUCCAAUUAAAGUGACGGUUUUGAAUAGGGAUUAAUUUAAUUUACAGAGUCGCCACUUGGAAUUGAGUUAUGGUGUUCCAACUCACCUUUUUGAAUCCCUAGUCAAAAGAAAAUGACUCUUUUUAUUGGUCUGCAAAAAUAGAAGACCGGGUAAGUAAUUCUGUUGACCGAGGAGAAGGUGUGAGGCACCCCUCGAGUCCCAUGGUUCUAGCACAGUCGCUUUUAUUAACUUAUCUUAACUUAAAUUAUUUUGAUAAUUAUGUUGGGGCCUAGGUUCGCUCAUUUUUUAUAUCUAAAAUCUGUCUAUAACUCUUGUAUUAAAUCGGUGAAAAUUAAUUUUAGAAAAAUAUUUGUCAAGGUGCAUUAUUGCAUCUUUGAAUUUUUAAAUGUCUCAAAAAGAUACGUACGUCGCAUUCUUAAUUGAGAUGAAUAUUUUUAAAAUGUAUCUAAACUUUAUCUAACGUUAAAAGCAUUUGUUUUUUUUUAUAAACUUGUAACAGUUAUUUAUUUGAAAUAUUAUUUAAUUUAAACAAUAAAAUUGAGUAAAAUUCAUUUUUUAAAGAAUAAAUAAUUUAAUAAAUAUUCAAUAAAUU
rnacentral:lncRNA from 1 species